rnacentral:rRNA from 1 species
GAUGAACGCUGGCGGAAUGCUUUACACAUGCAAGUCGAGCGGCAGCACGGGGGCAACCCUGGUGGCGAGCGGCGAACGGGUGAGUAAUACAUCGGAACAUGCCCAGUCGUGGGGGAUAACACUUCGAAAGAAGUGCUAAUACCGCAUACGUCCUGAGGGAGAAAGCGGGGGAUCUUCGGACCUCGCGCGAUUGGAGUGGCCGAUGUCAGAUUAGCUAGUUGGUGGGGUAAAGGCCUACCAAGGCAACGAUCUGUAGCUGGUCUGAGAGGAUGAUCAGCCACACUGGGACUGAGACACGGCCCAGACUCCUACGGGAGGCAGCAGUGGGGAAUUUUGGACAAUGGGGGCAACCCUGAUCCAGCCAUUCCGCGUGAGUGAAGAAGGCCUUCGGGUUGUAAAGCUCCUUCGGCAGGAACGAAACGGCGAGCUCUAACAUAGCUUGCUAAUGACGGUACCUGAAGAAGAAGCACCGGCUAACUACGUGCCAGCCGCCGCGGUAACAC